CCCCUAGUAACUGCGAGUGAAGCGGGAAAAGCUCAAAUUUAAAAUCUGGCGGUCUUUGACCGUCCGAGUUGUAGUCUGGAGAAGUGCUUUCCGCGCUGGACCGUGUAUAAGUCUCUUGGAACAGAGCGUCAUAGAGGGUGAGAAUCCCGUCUUUGACACGGACUACCAGUGCUUUGUGAUGCGCUCUCAAAGAGUCGAGUUGUUUGGGAAUGCAGCUCAAAAUGGGUGGUGAAUUCCAUCUAAAGCUAAAUAUUGGCGAGAGACCGAUAGCGAACAAGUACCGUGAGGGAAAGAUGAAAAGCACUUUGGAAAGAGAGUUAAACAGUACGUGAAAUUGCUGAAAGGGAAACGCUUGAAGUCAGUCGCGUUGUCCGGAACUCAGCCUUGCUUUCGCUUGGUGCACUUUCCGGAUGACGGGUCAGCAUCGAUUUUGACCGUCGGAAAAGGGCUGGAGUAAUGUGGCACCUCCGGGUGUGUUAUAGACUCUGGUCGCAUACGAUGGUUGGGAUCGAGGAACGCAGCGCGCCGCAAGGCAGGGGUUCGCCCACUUUCGCGCUUAGGAUGCUGGCAUAAUGGCUUUAAACGACCCGUCUUGAAACACGGACCAAGGAGUCUAACAUACCUGCGAGUGUUUGGGUGGAAAACCCGAGCGCGUAAUGAAAGUGAAAGUUGGGAUCCCUGUCGUGGGGAGCACCGACGCCCGGACCUGACGUUCUCUGACGGAUCCGCGGUAGAGCAUGUAUGUUGGGACCCGAAAGAUGGUGAACUAUGCCUGAAUAGGGUGAAGCCAGAGGAAACUCUGGUGGAGGCUCGUAGCGAUUCUGACGUGCAAAUCGAUCGU
rnacentral:rRNA from 1 species